ACAUCGAUAGCUCAGUGGCAGAGCGGUGGGGCGUUUACCCACGCGGCCUGGGUUCGAUUUCCGGUCGAUGUA